GGAUGUGAGGGCCAUCUGGCUGCGACAUCUGUCACCCCACUGAUCACCAGGGUUGAUUCGGCUGAUCUGGGUGGCUAGGCGCGUGUCACCUUCCUCCCUCACCGCUCCAUGUGUGUCCCUCCCGAAGCUGCGUGCUCUAUUGAAGAGGAUGGCCUUCCCCAAAUAGAGAGGGACUGGUAGCCGAGUUCCCCUGCUAGAACCUCCAAACAAGCUCUCAAGAUAUACGUGUGUGACAAAGGGUGAACAGAUCAUGUGGGGUAUUGUAGGAAUUUUGAUUUUACUUUUAGAGUUAUCUAGGU
ensembl:misc_RNA 7SK 7SK RNA